ensembl:lncRNA
AGAGAAACUCGGGCAGCUACUCACCUGAGACUGCCCGCUUCCCCUUGAGAGCAUAUUACUACUAAAUCCUCAACUUGUUUUCCUGACCUCCCUGUCUCGUCUGAAUUCUUUCUACAAGACAGGAACCUGCUCUCCAGUAACAUCUUUGCAGGACCCUGGAGAGUUCGGUCCAACUGUGUGGAAAUGUAAAAUGCAGCCUGAGAGUUCUCGCUUGUGGCUGCAUGGCUGCAGUCCCUUCCCGAGCUCCUUCACGCAGAAGGGCUGUGCUCGACUCGGGUGCUGGGAAGAGCGAAGCACUGCUGGGACCCACCGCAGCUGCUGUGUUAAAACCUGAAAUGCCAAGGUGAAAAAAACAUGGCUUCAAAAAAAAACCCCCUCUGACUUCAAAUGAUGAUGCAUCAGGAUCCACCCAUCCCACCUGAAGAUGCUGGAACACCUGCUGGAAAAGGCUGCUAACUCCUUCUACUUCUUAAUCUCCACCUCUGCUACUGUAAACAACUCUGAGACCCUAUCUCUGAUAGAUAGCAAGGAGAUCUGGACCACAGCUAGGGAAAACACCCAUGCCAAGCUCGGAGCAUUUAUAGAAGAUGAACCAGCGACCUCUUAAAAGAUUUUAAGAGUCCAGACUCUUUGAGGAGGGAAUGGGAAAGCAGAUAGGUAGAUAGAUUUGAGCAGAGAAAGGGGGCUCAGGCCCAAUGGCAGGAAACCACACAUCUUGUAAACAGCAGGGGUCCAUAGGCAAAGAAAAGUGAGAACCUCCAGAUUGACAGGAAAUCACACAUUUGGGAUAAGUGUCCUGGAGGCAGACAAAGAAAAGUGGGAAAAGGCAGGAAUCUCUGAUGUCCAGAUGUAACCUUUUGCCCUUUAUGCCCUCAUUACAAUAAAAUUAGCCUUGCACUUAGGAAGUACCCAUCAUGCACCAAGGCCAUGACACUUUGAUCAAGGCUAAAUAAGGACAAAAAUCCCUCCUCCCCUCAGAAAAGCGGCACUGGAAUGAAAAUCCAGAAUAUUAACCCCAAACCCUUUCUUCCCCAAUGAAUAUGGUGUGGAUCAAUGAAUGGUGUGUACAUUUAAAAUGUACACUUCAAUGAUUUUUAGUAUAUUCACAAAGUUGUAUGACCACCACCAUGAUCUAUCUUAUUUAUUUAAAAAAAUUUUUUUUUUUGGCUGUGCCCACAGUGUACAGCAGUUCCCAGGCCAGGGACUGAACCUGAGCCAUAGCAGUGACAGUGCCAGGUCCUCAGGUACUAGGCUACCAGGGAACUCCCUCCCACAAUCUAUUUUAGAAAAAUUUCAUCACUAAUAAAAAGCCCUGGAUUCAUUAACUUUCACUACUCAUUUAUUCCCCAACCCACCCAGCCCUAAGAAACAAUUAACCAACUUUCUGUCUUUAUGGAAUUGCCUAUUCUGAUCAUUUAAAUAGAAUUAAAAUACGAUUUUUUUCC